rnacentral:rRNA from 1 species
UACGAAGGGGGCUAGCGUUGCUCGGAAUCACUGGGCGUAAAGCGCACGUAGGCGGAUUGCUAAGUCAGGGGUGAAAUCCUGGAGCUCAACUCCAGAACUGCCCUUGAUACUGGCGGUCUCGAGUCCGGGAGAGGUGAGUGGAACUGCGAGUGUAGAGGUGAAAUUCGUAGAUAUUCGCAAGAACACCAGUGGCGAAGGCGGCUCACUGGACCGGUAUUGACGCUGAGGUGCGAAAGCGUGGGGAGCAACAGG